rnacentral:rRNA from 1 species
UACGUAGGGUGCGAGCGUUAAUCGGAAUUACUGGGCGUAAAGCGUGCGCAGGCGGUUUUGUAAGCCGGAUGUGAAAUCCCCGGGCUUAACCUGGGAAUGGCAUUCGGGACUGCAAGGCUGGAGUGCGGCAGAGGAGACUGGAAUUCCUGGUGUAGCAGUGAAAUGCGCAGAUAUCAGGAGGAACACCAGUGGCGAAGGCGGUGCUCUGGGCCGGAACUGACGCUGAGGAGCGAAAGCGUGGGGAGCAAACAGG